AAAUAAGAAGUGAAAAAUCCCAAUCAGUUUUGCCCCGAAAAAAUGGUAUUAAUUUCCCUUUUUUG
rnacentral:tRNA from 1 species